rnacentral:rRNA from 1 species
UAUUGCACAAUGGGCGCAAGCCUGAUGCAGCCAUGCCGCGUGUAUGAAGAAGGCCUUCGGGUUUUAAAGUACUUUCAGCGGGGAGGAAUGGAGUAACGUUAAUACCUUUGCUCAUUGACGUUACUCGCAGAAGAAGCACUGCCUAACUCUGUGCCAUCAGCCGCGGUAAUACGGAGGGUGCAAGCGUUAAUCGGAAUUACUGGGCGUAAAGCGCACGCAGGCGGUUUGUUAAGUCAGAUGUGAAAUCCCCGGGCUCAACCUGGGAACUGCAUCUGAUACUGGCAAGCUUGAGUCUCGUAGAGGGGGGUAGAAUUCCAGGUGUAGCGGUGAAAUGCGUAGAGAUCUGGAGGAAUACCGGUGGCGAAGGCGGCCCCCUGGACGAAGACUGACGCUCAGGUGCGAAAGCGUGGGGAGCAAACAG